rnacentral:rRNA from 1 species
AGUGAACGCUGGCGGUAGGCCUAACACAUGCAAGUCGAACGGCAGCACAGUAAGAGCUUGCUCUUACGGGUGGCGAGUGGCGGACGGGUGCGGAAUACAUCGGAAUCUACUUUUUCGUGGGGGAUAACGUAGGGAAACUUACGCUAAUACCGCAUACGACCUACGGGUGAAAGCAGGGGAUCUUCGGACCUUGCGCGAUUGAAUGAGCCGAUGUCGGAUUAGCUAGUUGGCGGGGUAAAGGCCCACCAAGGCGACGAUCCGUAGCUGGUCUGAGAGGAUGAUCAGCCACAUUGGAACUGAGACACGGUCCAGACUCCUACGGGAGGCAGCAGUGGGGAAUAUUGGACAAUGGGCGCAAGCCUGAUCCAGCCAUACCGCGUGGGUGAAGAAGGCCUUCGGGUUGUAAAGCCCUUUUGUUGGGAAAGAAAAGCAGCAGGUUAAUACCCCGCUGUUCUGACGGUACCCAAAGAAUAAGCACCGGCUAACUUCGUG